GACGAACGCUGGCGGCGUGCUUAACACAUGCAAGUCGAACGGAAAGGCCCUGCUUUUGUGGGGUGCUCGAGUGGCGAACGGGUGAGUAACACGUGAGUAACCUGCCCUUGACUUUGGGAUAACUUCAGGAAACUGGGGCUAAUACCGGAUAGGGGCUCCUGCUGCAUGGUGGGGGUUGGAAAGUUUCGGCGGUUGAGGAUGGACUCGCGGCUUAUCAGCUUGUUGGUGGGGUAGUGGCUUACCAAGGCUUUGACGGGUAGCCGGCCUGAGAGGGUGACCGGCCACAUUGGGACUGAGAUACGGCCCAGACUCCUACGGGAGGCAGCAGUGGGGAAUAUUGCACAAUGGGCGGAAGCCUGAUGCAGCAACGCCGCGUGCGGGAUGACGGCCUUCGGGUUGUAAACCGCUUUCGCCUGUGACGAAGCGUAAGUGACGGUAAUGGGUAAAGAAGCACCGGCUAACUACGUG
rnacentral:rRNA from 1 species